AUGAUUAUGAACGGUUGCCUCCUGUGCUGGCUUUUCCUUACAAGCGCAAGUGCACGGAGGUGACUUUCUUUUCAUUCACCCACCCCUUUUGUGAGCCUUUGCCUCUGCUGGCUUCGGUCAGCAGUGGAUUUUUUUACACAAACUUGAAUGUAAUGUGAAAUACUGUCGUGUGCAAGCAUGAUUAAUGUA
rnacentral:misc_RNA from 1 species